GGGUGAACGCUGGCGGCGUGCCUAAGACAUGCAAGUCGUGCGGGCCAUGGGGUUUUACUCCGUGGUCAGCGGCGGACGGGUGAGUAACGCGUGGGUGACCUACCCGGAAGAGGCGGACAACCUGGGGAAACCCAGGCUAAUCCGCCAUGUGGUCCUGUCCUGUGGGGUAGGACUAAAGGGUGAAUAGCCCGCUUCCGGAUGGGCCCGCGUCCCAUCAGCUAGUUGGUGGGGUAAAGGCCCACCAAGGCGACGACGGGUAGCCGGUCUGAGAGGAUGGCCGGCAACAGGGGCCCUGGGACCCGGGCCCCCCCCCUCCGGGGGGCAGCAGUUAGGAAUCUUCCCCAAUGGACGGAAGUCGGACGGGGGGACGCGCUUUGGGGGGGGAGGCCCUUCGGGGUGUAAACUCUGGAACGGGGGACCAAGGCCCCGGAUGGGGGGAGGGCGGAACCCAGGUAAAGACCCCGGCCAACCCCGG
rnacentral:rRNA from 1 species